GCCUGAAGGAUUCUCUUCUCGUUCAACGUGUGUUCGAUCUGCUUGAGCUUCACCACCUGGAAUGGGGAGAAGAGGGAGAAAGGAAUAUACUGUGAGCUUUACUACACUUACUCAGCUGCUGUAGAAGAGAGCGGUCUCAAAUACAGCAGCCCCACACAUCAAGCCACUAGAGGUCCUCGCUGCCACAUUGACUCUGACUCUGAACAGCUGAACAGCUCUGCCCAGGUUAAUACAGCCCCGACAUGGACAUGAAUUUACAGUACCUCCAGAGAACCGAUGUGUUCUGCAAAUUACAGAAGACCCAAGAGUCUCCCUCCUUUUUACUUCAGUGGGAUGUGUGGAAUCAUACCCACACUGUUAUCACUCAGUUACACAGUAUAGAACUAUCCUCAUUUUUAUUAUAAACUGAUUUUUCUGACUCUUUUAUCAAUUUGCUCAGAUUGCAUUUAGCUAUUUGUUAUAGAUUGUUUAGAAUGUUUGGUAAUGAUAGAGACAGUUGGAUUUGCUGGAAAAUCUGUAUAAACUGUUCCUUUAGCUACCACUGAGCUUGAGAGUACAGCAGCGAAGAGCUGCAGGAAACCAAAUAGUCAGGAACAGGACUCCUUUACUCCACACACAUUACUUCUGAGAAUGAUGCACUUCUGCACUUUAGAAUGAUGGGUAACUCUAACCCUCAAGGACGUUUUUCCAGGCUUUACAAAUAGUAUAUGUCAAUUACCAGAAAAAACAUUUCUAAGAAAACUGAUGAUUUUACUUCUUAUCUAAAUAAGUAAUUGAAUCAGUUCGAGUUCUGGAGCUGGCUAUUCUGUUUAGUCAAAAAUGCCACAUACCCAUUUUCAGACUCUCUGAUGAUAUCAGGAUGACACCAGACUCCAGAUAAUUCACCAAUUAUGUGCAGCCCCAUGCUUCCUUAAAGUA